UAUAUGAGUUAUUCACCUGAAAUAAUGUAUUAUAUUAUAAUAUUGUUUUCUUUUCUCCCUAGGUGCAGAGAGUGUCUUCCUGAGGAGUGGUUCUGUUGGGACUGUGAUGUAUUGCAUCACAAAAAACAGCCCUCCACAACAGGGAAUGCGUGAUUCGUGGGUUUUUUGAAGCCAUUCCUCCAACCUUGUGCAUCAUUAAAGGGGAAGGUGGAUAUCGCAACCAUGAACAAGGUACGUUCUCACGAAAGCUUUAAUUUUGCUGUUCAAUGUGUGUCUGCAGACAGUUACAGAUGAUCUAAAUUAUUGGUUUUCCUUCUUUUUGCCAGCUUGCAUUUUGCCAACUGUGAAAAUGCCAGACUGCUCCUGUGAAGACACAAACUUCACUGUGUUACCUGGCAAACCAGUGAUUUUAAUUACCAUCAAUGGGCGUUUUGACUUGCAUCAGCCACUGUAUGAAUGUCAAACAUGCCAGCAGCAAUGGACCCCUGACUUUAAAGACCUCCUAAGACGUGGAUAUUGGCCAGCCUCCGUCACCAAUUCCACACUUUAUACACUGGACCUCUUGAGCUCCCUUCAGGAACUCAAGAUCAUAUGUCCGGGAUUCUCCAGACAAGCCUUCGCAAAGCUGCUGGAGCAUCGCACUAAGUGUGGAGGAAGAGUAAGUGUAAAUGAUAUUUUAAAAAAAAAAUCCAUAAGACAAUAUCACAAAUAAUAUUUCAUUCUAUAUAUUUUCCAGUCUGGACCUAUCAACGGCGAUGCACUGCAGCGCAGCUUUUUAGAGCUUUCAUAUGCAUCAUUUGAGGAAGACCAGCUCUGCUGUAGUGCUCCUUUCACCUGCCCAGCCUGCACACCAGAAAUGUUGGCUGUUUCAGCAGAUGGAAAUAGAAAGCUAUAUCGCUUUCGCCGAAACGGAAGGUGAUCUUUCUUCCAGUCUUUUUAUUGAUUUAUUUUCUUACUUCAUAUAUUUCAUGAAUGGAUUUUCUAUUUUUCUUUCUUCCUUAGCUCUGAUGAUCCUGGCUUUUUUGAGGGGCUCUUUGUGGCUGAAGACAGUGCAGUGUCUACAUUUGUCAACACCAUACAGAAAGCAGUAAAAAAUGCAAGUUGACAAAAUAGUUGUUACAAUAAUAACCGUAACCCCCACUUCAAUUACUUCUGCCUACCAAUUACAAAAUCAAAUUGAGAGAAUAAAUGCCAUAUAUUGAAUGACACCAUUGCUUUUAUUUGAUUUGUCAUGUUUGUUUUGUGUGUCAUAGACACAGGGAAGAGGCACAUUUGGGGACUCCCAGUGGACAGCAGCGAGGGAAACUUCAAGGAGGGCUUCAAAAUUGGACGAAGAAGGGAUGGAGGUUGCUGUGUGUCGCCAUGGGUUCCUUUUGAAAGCCCUUAAUAUGUACAGGGGAGAGAUAUCUGCCUACCCUCUGUAUCUUCAAAAGGAGCUCAUGCCAGCCAAGGCACAAUUCUUCGCAAUGGAUGUGGCAUGCAAAUACUGGCCAUACCUGGAUAAAGUUGCUAAUGUCCUUCCUGCUCUUCAGGAGCUGACCACUAUGAAACCCUUUCUCAGUGUAAUGCAUGCUCGAGCCCAUGCUACUAAGUGUGAGGUGUGUAUAAUAUUUUAGCAUCAUAUGUACAUUUGUAAUAUUUACAAGCACAUUAAUAAUAUGAAAUUGAAGUUAAGCUACACUAUAUUAUCUUGUCUUUUUGCAUAACCAUUUCUUGCAUGGAUUGUAAUGCCCUUUGAUGCAGAUUGUGUUUUGUGAUAUUGUCCUAUAUAAAUUAAAUUAAAUGUAAAUUAAUUUCUUUCACCCUUUACAGAUUAAUUGGAGUGGCAGGAACCAGGAAGGAGCAGGAACAACAGCUGGUGAGGAGGUGGAGCAAGUGAACAGCUACCUCUCACGUUGUGCCCUGACGACCAAAUAUAUGUCCAAAGCAGGUGAUCAGAGUUUGCAAUAUUCCUGUAUACUUUUUUUUAGAUUGAUCAUCAUAACCUCAUUAUUUGCUUUAAACAGCACGGGUGGACAUGCUUACCUUGCAUGCAGUGGGGUGGAACCACAAAACAAGUCUCUCUCUACAUCAGGCACUUUCCACAAGAUAUGUGAAGGUAAGUCUCUUAUUAAUUGUUUUGUGUGUCCUUUUAUUGUGUUUACUUGGCCUUUUGUUAAUCAUACAAAGUUGUAAUCCUGAUUAUUGUAUAACACUGUUCAUCAGACUUGUCAGAGACUCCAUGAUGAGACUGCAAGGCUAGCUGACCUAAAAACAGAGCUAGAUUGCACAGAUAAAUUGGUGUCACAGUGGCUAUCUGAUGUGAAGGAAUGGGCAGCUGGUGGUAAGCAUGACCAGAUAAAAGAAACAAACAUCCCUUUCUACCAUCUACAUUUUAUGUUUGAUAUUAAAGAGCAGCAAAAAAUAGUAGGCGGAUCAUCAUCUAAUGUGAUGCCACAUUUAUGUCAGGUUUAUUAGAAUAUUCCAGUUCCUUGCAGGAAGUGCACAUACCAAGUUUAAAUAAGUUUGAUUAAAAGGUUUUACAUAAAAUUCAAACUUGCUUUCACUAUUUCUUAUACAGAGACACCUGAUACAUAUAGUGCCAGUCAAGGCACAACACACAGAGGAAUUCAGCAAUUAAUUGAGGGGCUCUACUUUAGUGUGAGGCACCGGAAGCGAACCCUCUACCGUCAGAAUGGUAUAACUCUACAAUAUAAUAGGUUGAUAAAUUCAAGCUACUGUAUGCAUCCUACUCCACCAACAUUGGAAUUAGCAAAUAAUGUAGUAGCACAGUUCAGC
rnacentral:lncRNA from 12 species